rnacentral:rRNA from 1 species
GUGUCAGCAGCCGCGGUAAUACGGAGGGUGCAAGCGUUAAUCGGAAUUACUGGGCGUAAAGCGCGCGUAGGCGGUUUUGUAAGUCGGAUGUGAAAGCCCCGGGCUUAACCUGGGAAUUGCAUUCGAUACUGCGUGACUAGAGUAUGGUAGAGGGAAGCGGAAUUCCGGGUGUAGCGGUGAAAUGCGUAGAUAUCCGGAGGAACACCAGUGGCGAAGGCGGCUUCCUGGACCAAUACUGACGCUGAGGCGCGAAAGCGUGGGGAGCAAACAGGAUUAGAUACCCGCGUAGUCC